AGGAACCUGCCUUUCAUGGGGGACAACAGUUGGAAACGACUGCUAAUACCGCAUAACGUAGCGAGACCGCAUGAUCUUGCUACCAAAGCUUUAUGUGCUGAAAGAUGGCCUCGCGUCUGAUUAGCUAGUUGUGGGGUAACGGCCCACCAAGGCGACGAUCAGUAGCCGGACUGAGAGGUUGAACGGCCACAUUGGGACUGAGAUACGGCCCAGACUCCUACGGGAGGCAGCAGUGGGGAAUAUUGGGCAAUGGGCGAAAGCCUGACCCAGCAACGCCGCGUGAAGGAAGAAGGCCUUCGGGUUGUAAACUUCUUUUAGUAGGGACGAAGAACGUGACGGUACCUACAGAAAAAGCAACGGCUAACUACGUG
rnacentral:rRNA from 1 species